AGAAGUCAUUGAAUAAUCAGUCACUUGCCAGCUAUCACCCAAUGAUGUACAAUGGAGACAUGGACACACUUGUGCAAAUCCAGCGAAGGACAAUGAAACGAUGAAGGGACUGGACCAUCUGACUGUGUCUGUUCAGCCUGGAGAAGAAGAGACUCAUGGGAAUCUUAUCAAUAUGUUGACCAAGAUACAGUUAUGACUGAGAAAUUUCUUCACCAUUGAUUUUGGGUUCUUUAAGGGGCAGGUCUUCCAGCUGAAGGUCCGGCACCUACCAGAGCAGCAAAGGGAAGAAAAGAAUGACUUACUAUAUGGGAAGGCUAAAGACAAAAGGCUGAAAAUAUUUGUUAAUACCCUGCUCUUAAAUUCUAAACGAAGCAUCUGUCAUGGGCCAGCACUGGAGACAGGACAUUGGGCCUAACCAAGAUGGAGAACUGACCCCAUUUAAAGUAACCAAACUUAUGCUAUGGUCUUUGGUUUAGAUAAGGAUAUAUUAUCAUACAGUACUUAAUCAACACUUAAUUUAUUUUAGCCUGGGGGAAAUCUACAUGAUGGCCACCCAUAUUUAAAUAAAGAUAGUACUUUUCCUCCAGCUUUCAAUGCAGCAAAUGUCGGGAUUUUAUUAAUAUGCUGAGAAAUGUAUUUGCAUUAUAUUCCAUGAAGAGAUCUCAAUCUCUGCUAGGUGAAAGUAAUUUAAAAGCUACUGCUUUAUAAAAUAGUUUUACAGACUUAUUAAAGUAAUUAAGUACCUCUAUAAGAGAGACAGAAUUGCUCUUACACUAAAGUUUGAAGGACUUUAUAGCUGUAUUUCUUAGCCAGAAUAAUGCUUUAAAUCAAUUAUAUUCUGUUAUAAUGAUAUUUUUGCUAUAAUACACAAUUUGUGGCAUUUCUGUAAAAGCAAUUAAUAAUAGCCUUUUAACACAGACUCCAUACAUUCUGCAUAAUAUAUACAUGAAUGUGUAAAACAUACCACACCUUUAUGAAGCAUUUUAAAAUCAUUUAAUUGCUGCCAUAAAUCAUUUAAAUGAAUCUUAGUCUGAGUAAUUACUUUUGAUUGGUUCAGUGUGCUGGUUUACUUAAUAAAUUGUGUUUUUCUAAUUGGCCAAGAUUUUAAUAACAAAUUAGAAAAGCGUUUGAGGAGGAUGGGUAGUACAACUACCAGUUUUAAUAUAUGUGGUGUCCUGAACUCAGUUAAUUAAUCCAAACAGCAGCGUUUGAAAUGUCAUCUGGUUGAUGCAACUGGAAGUGUUUUAUAAUCCUAAAAUGCUCUUUAACUAAACUGCUAAGGCUUCUUAAAUAAGUAUUUUUAAUUACUGUUAUUAUUUGA